rnacentral:lncRNA from 1 species
AUCCAAAUAUGUAAAAUUCAAUAGUUUUGUCAUUUGUGGGUAUUUUUGUCAAUUUCCAAUUUUCUAAUAAAUAUAUAUUAUUAUUAUCCAAUAAUUCUAAUUUAUAUCUAAUAAUCCCAAGACUAACUUAAUCUAUCAAAAGCCCUUUUCCUCUUCAAAAUUUGGAUAAACUCUAACCGACACCCAACACAAUCUUGAGCCACGGGCACUACACACUUCUUUUUUAGAUUUUUCACACCUCUUCAAAGUUAAAUUGAAAUCCAUUAUACCAAAUUGGAGAUAAAGAGAUCCUAGACGUUCGGUAAUAAUAUUUGCUACGAAUAAAGUUUCAGAUCAAUAAUUUUUUUUGGAGCAAACUAAGAUAAAAAUCUGAAAUUAAAUGCGUUUCGUAGCAUCAUACAAACGUAAACUUGUGUAAUUAUUAUGUUUAAAUAUUAUAAACAAUUGCUUUAUUAUCGUGGUUGGUUAUUCCCUUUGUCUAAUCAGUAUCCUUUUUUUUCAAAUAUGAUGAUCACGAAGUCUUGUUAGAUAUCAUUAUGUUUUUUGGGCCUUAUAUCUAAUUUAAUAAACUUGUAUUGUAUCGUCAUUA